rnacentral:tRNA from 1 species
AAUAACCCGUGGGGGUUUAGCUCAGCUGGGAGAGCACCUGCUUUGCACGCAGGGGGUCAAGGGUUCAAAUCCCUUAAUCUCCA